UGCCCAGCAACUCCUAUCCCUACCUCCUCGCGGUACCGGCCAAAAACUAUGAGCAACCUUAGGGAAGAUCGGGUAAUCAACCCCGGAUCUUUGGUCGUAGGCUGACAGGGAAGG
rnacentral:ribozyme from 1 species